rnacentral:rRNA from 1 species
AUACGGAGGGUGCAAGCGUUAUUCGGAAUCACUGGGCGUAAAGGACGCGUAGGCGGGUUGACAAGUCAGAUGUGAAAUCCUACAGCUUAACUGUAGAACUGCAUUUGAAACUGCUAACCUAGAGUAUGGGAGGGGGAGAUGGAAUUAGUGGUGUAGGGGUAAAAUCCGUAGAUAUCACUAGGAAUACCGAAAGCGAAGGCGAUCUCCUGGAACAUAACUGACGCUAAGGCGUGAAAGCGUGGGGAGCAAACAGGAUUAGAAACCCUAGUAGUCC